rnacentral:tRNA from 1 species
GGCAGGAUAGCUCAGCUUGGUAGAGCGGACGGCUCAUACCCGUUAUGUCAGCGGUUCAAAUCCGCUUCCUGCCACCA